AGAGUUUGAUCCUGGCUCAGGACGAACGUUGGCGGUGCGCUUAAUGCAUGCAAGUCGAGGGAGAACCUUUCGAUCCGUAAGGACCGAAUGGGGAAACCGGCGAACGGGUGCGUAACACGUGAGGAACCUGCCCCGAAGACCGGGAUAGCCCGAGGAAACUCGGAUUAAUACCGGAUACCCUCCUCGGACCACAUGGUCUGUUGAGGAAAUGGUCCGCCGCUUCGGGAUGGCCUCGCGGCCUAUCAGCUUGUUGGUGAGGUAAUGGCUCACCAAGGCAAAGACGGGUAGCUGGUCUGAGAGGACGAUCAGCCACACUGGGACUGAGACACGGCCCAGACUCCUACGGGAGGCAGCAGCAGGGAAUAUUGCACAAUGGGCGAAAGCCUGAUGCAGCGACACCGCGUGCGGGAUGAAGGCCCUCGGGUUGUAAACCGCUUUCAGGAGGGACGAAAAUGACGGUACCUCCAGAAGAAGGCCCGGCCAACUACGUGCCAGCAGCCGCGGUAAUACGUAGGGGCCAAACGUUGUCCGGAUUUAUUGGGCGUAAAGGGCUCGUAGGCGGUUCAACAAGUCGAUCGUGAAAGCCCGGGGCUCAACCCCGGGACGCCGGUCGAAACUGUUGUGACUAGGGUCCGGUAGAGGUGAGUGGAAUUCUCGGUGUUAGCGUGGAAUGCGCAGAUAUCGAGAGGAACACAGUUG
rnacentral:rRNA from 1 species